rnacentral:misc_RNA from 1 species
AGAUGAUGAUGAUGAUGAUGAUGACAUUGAUUGGGAAGCCAAUGGAGAUUUUGAAUUUUCAGGCUUGCAAAAUGAUGAUCAUCCUUUGAGCAAAAAUGGUUGACAAGUCCUUGAAUUUUUGAAUUGACUGGAUGGCAUUUUUUGUUCCUUGCAUAUGUCGAAAACAGGUAAUCAUUAUGUUUCAUGCUGUUUCUCCAUUUUCUAGCACCAUCUUCAAUUUGAUAUUUACCUCAUCAUCUAGGUCUUUUCUUAGAUAUUGAAUAAAUGAAUUGAAUCUAGAUCUGCUGCCUUCUUUUUGCUCCCCAUUUUCUAGCAUCAGGUUGACUUAAGCAGCUUGAUGAUUCUCAUGGACUUUGUAGCUGUUUGAGCUGAUCUGGCUAAGUUGGAACUAACACAAUUUUGAAUCAAUAAAAUGGAUGGCUUAGCGAGGUUCGCCUACAUGUUGCUAUUCAUCACAAGGACUCUUCAUUAACAAAUUGAUCUUAUGCUUCACUGUGUUCUGUGAGCUCGGUGUUUGUCCGCAGCCCACUUUUUCAUUAGUAAGGAUGACAAUGGCUUCCAUUUUUAGUAAUACGAUGUCUCUGUUUAAUAUGUAGAACAUUUUGUCAUCAUAAUUUUUGUAUAGUGUUUUGAGGUAACAAAGUCGAAUUUAAAUAUUGUUAAUUUGUUAUAGUAUCGCCUUGUUACCUUGAUGAGCAAAUCUGCAGAGAACUAUUCUGUAUUUCAUUAUCCGUCAUGCGAACAAUGAUUUUUCUUUGGAUAGUCACUCGACAAAUGAAACCAAAAAUCUAAGUGCUGAUGGUAAUGUGAUUUAAGGCUUGUGAU